UUCCGGUUGAUCCUGCCGGACCCGACUGCUAUCAGAGUGGGACUAAGCCAUGCGAGUUAACGUAGCAAUACGUGGCAUACGGCUCAGUAACACGUAGUCAACAUGCCCAGAGGACGUGGAUAACCUCGGGAAACUGAGGAUAAACCGCGAUAGGCCAUGAUUCCUGGAAUGGUUCAUGGCCGAAAUCUAUAUGGCCUUUGGAUUGGACUGCGGCCGAUCAGGCUGUUGGUGAGGUAAUGGCCCACCAAACCUGUUACCGGUACGGGCUCUGAGAGGAGGAGCCCGGAGAUGGGCACUGAGACAAGGGCCCAGGCCCUAUGGGGCGCAGCAGGCGCGAAACCUCUGCAAUAGGCGAAAGCUUGACAGGGUUACUCUGAGUGGUUUCCGUUAAGGAGAUCUUUUGACACCUCUAAAAAUGGUGUAGAAUAAGGGGUGGGCAAGUCUGGUGUCAGCCGCCGCGGUAAUACCAGCACCCCGAGUGGUCGGGACGAUUAUUGGGCCUAAAGCAUCCGUAGCCGGUCCUACAAGUCUUCCGUUAAAUCCACCUGCUUAACAGAUGGGCUGCGGAAGAUACUAUAGGGCUAGGAGGCGGGAGAGGCAAGCGGUACUCAGUGGGUAGGGGUAAAAUCCUCUGAUCCAUU
rnacentral:rRNA from 1 species